CACGUCAUCCUCCUCUCUCACCGCCUCCACCACCGCCACCUCCACCACCACCGCCACCGCCGCCGCCAUUUCCACCACCACCGCCACCGCCGCCGCCGCCGCCACCGCCACCACCAUCCCCAUCCCCUCCAUCCCAGCCACGUCAUCCCCCUCUACCGCCGCCUCCACCACCGCCACCUCCUCCACCACCACCGCCACCGCCGCCGCCAUUUCCACCACCACCACCACCACCUCCGCCGCCGCCACCGCCACCACCAUCCCCAUCCCCUCCAUCGCAGCCACGUCAUCCCCCUCUACCGCCGCCUCCACCACCGCCACCUCCUCCACCACCACCGCCACCGCCGCCGCCAUUUCCACCACCACCACCACCGCCUCCGCCGCCGCCACCGCCAUCACCAUCCCCAUCCCCUCCAUCCCAGCCACGUCAUCCCCCUCUACCGCCGCCUCCACCACCGCCACCUCCUCCACCACCACCGCCACCGCCGCCGCCAUUUCCACCACCACCACCACCGCCGCCGCCGCCGCCACCUGCCAUCACCAUCCCCACCCCCUCCAUCCCAGCCACGUCAUCCCCCUCUACCGCCGCCUCCACCACCGCCACCUCCUCCACCACCACCGCCACCGCCGCCGCCAUUUCCACCACCACCACCACCGCCUCCGCCGCCGCCACCUGCCAUCACCAUCCCCACCCCCUCCAUCCCAGCCACGUCAUCCUCCUCUCCGCCGCCUCCACCACCGCCACCUCCUCCACCACCACCGCCACCGCCGCCGCCAUUUCCACCACCACCACCACCGCCGCCGCCGCCGCCACCGCCAUCACCAUCCCCACCCCCUCCAUCCCAGCCACGUCAUCCCCCUCUACCGCCGCCUCCACCACCGCCACCUCCUCCACCACCACCGCCACCGCCGCCGCCAUUUCCACCACCACCACCACCGCCUCCUCCUCCGCCUACCUGCCAUCACCAUCCCCACCCCCUCCAUCCCAGCCACGUCAUCCCCCUCUACUCACCGCCUCCACAACCGCCACCUCCUCCACCACCACCGCCACCGCCGCCGCCAUUUCCACCACCACCACCACCGCCGCCGCCGCCGCCACCGCCACCACCAUCCCCAACCCCUACAUCCCAGCCACGUCAUCCCCCUCUACCGCCGCCUCCACCACCGCCACCUCCUCCACCACCACCGCCACCGCCGCCGCCAUUUCCACCACCACCACCACCGCCUCCUCCGCCGCCACCGCCAUCACCAUCCCCAUCCCCUCCAUCCCAGCCACGUCAUCCCCCUCUACCGCCGNN
rnacentral:lncRNA from 1 species